CCCUUAGAUGUCCUGGGCCGCACGCGCGCUACACUGACAUGUUCAACAAGCCUCCUAGUUCGACAGGAUUUGGGAAAUCUUUGAACGCAUGUCGUGAUAGGGAUAGAUCAUUGCAAUUAUUGAUCUUGAACGAGGAAUUCCUAGUAAACGCGAGUCAUCAGCUCGCAUUGAUUACGUCCCUGCCCUUUGUACACACCGCCCGUCGCACCUACCGAUUGGAUGGUCCGGUGAAGCCUCGGGAUUGUGGUUCUUGCCGCUUUAUUGUGGCGUGACCGCGAGAACUUGUCUAAACCUUAUCAUCUAGAGGAAGGUGAAGUCGUAACA
rnacentral:rRNA from 1 species